rnacentral:lncRNA from 1 species
GAUCCAAUUGCCUUCUUUCUCUGCUUUACUAUGAAAAGAAAAAUCAUAUUGUGGCACAUAUCACGAACUGGAUCCAGUGUCAAGGCAGUGCAAAUUACUGGACUAACAUGAGUGCUUAUGAGAUUGAAGCAUGGCUGAAUAUUAACAUGCAUGAAUUGAUUGCAUUAAGAAUUGUAAGCACCACAACGAGAGAUGGAAAUCUCUUGAUACAGUACGUGGUGGCAAGCUCCAAAAUUGGAGAAUCAACUCAAACAAAAACUCCAGCAGUACAAGCACUUUAUACUUACUCCUGACAUAUGCAAAGCAACAAGACGAGCAGUAACAUCAGCAGCACAGGGUGAUCCGACGAGUCAAACACGCUCAUUAGGUCAUGCCACCAUCGGCCCCUGUCAAGUGUGAUGCAUAACGACUCGACAGUCAGACACAAACCGCAAAAAGAAGCCUAGGACAAGAAUCCUACCACUGAUACUAGUAAAGACGAUAUGUGUCAGCCUUUCAUUCAUCAGUGGCAUAUCCACAAAAGAAACCUUCGUCACAACUGAGAAAGGAAAAUAUCUCUGGUAUUAAGAAAGCUCUGCUUCAGGCACCAGUUAUCACCCCCUGGGACGAUAACGUGAUUUCCCUGACUUCGCUGUCAGAAUUAAGGCACUCGCUCAAGAGCUCAACAUGGAAGGGGUGGAUCUUGAACAGAUCUUUCGAGAUCAGACCAAGUAUGUCUGCGAGAUCACCCAGGGCCGCAACCGCAGCCUUUGUCAAACUCUCAUCCCUGACACAUACAUAUAUGAUAAGGGGAAAAACACAAUACCCG